UGCAAGCCGCCGCGGUAAUACGGAGGGUGCACGCGUUGUUCGGCAUUAUUGGGCGUAAAGCGCGUGUAGGCGGUUCGUACAGUCUGAUGUGAAAGCCCGGGGCUCAACCCCGGAAGUGCAUUGGAAACUGGCGAACUUGAGUACGGGAGAGGAAAGUGGAAUUCCGAGUGUAGGGGUGAAAUCCGUAGAUAUUCGGAGGAACACCAGUGGCGAAGGCGGCUUUCUGGACCGAUACUGACGCUGAGAAGCGAAAGCGUGGGGAGCAAACAGGAUUAGAUA
rnacentral:rRNA from 1 species